CAAGAGAGAGAGAGAGAGAGAGAGAGAGAGAGAGAGAGAGAGAGAGAGAGAGAGAGAGAGAGAGAGAGUGAGAGAGAGAGAGAGAGAGAGAGAGAAAGCACGCGAGUGAGAGAGAGAGAGAGAGAGAGAGAGAGAGAGAGAGAGAGAGAGAGAGAGAGAGAGAGAGAGAGAGAGAGAGAGAGAGAGAGAGAGAGAGAGAGAGAGAGAGAGAGAGAGAGAGAGAGAGAGAGAGAGAGAGAGAGUCC
rnacentral:lncRNA from 1 species